rfam:Picea glauca, whole genome shotgun sequence.
AUGUAAUGUAAUUCCUAUAGUGUUAAUGCACUGGAUCCCAUUAGAACUCUGUAGUUAAGAACACUUGGGAUAGAGUAGUACUGGGAUGAGUGACCUUCCGGUAAGUCCAAGUAUUUUACAUG